CCAAGGGUGACUUCCGUCGCCAACACAUUGGAUCCCAUUAGAAAUCCACAGUUAAGCAAGCUCGGUCUAGAGUAGUACUGGGAUGGGUGACCGCUCGGGAAGUACUAGUAUUUUACAUGCC
rnacentral:rRNA from 1 species